rnacentral:lncRNA from 1 species
UGAUUUCUCGUGGAUUAACCACGUUCUCCCUCUUUAUUUUUUCUCCAUAAUCUCAGUCUCCUUCUCUCUUCAUAAAGAUCGCUCCUUUAAUUGCAUAAUAUACCCUGAGAAAACACGCAGGAGAUAUUGGCAAUAACCCUAACCCUUCCCUAUAAAUUGCAAAAUCUCAAUGCGGGCUAAUCUCUUUCAUGCAAUUGCUGAUUGGAUUUGAAUCUCAUCUUCGUUCUUAACUUCAGGUUGCACAAUCAGUAACGUUUGUUUUCCUUUUUAUCUGAGUUUAGUUUUCGGUUUUCGACCAACACUCACCGCCCCGUCGGGGAUCCCAGCAUUUAUUUGAAUACUCGAUCAGUGGGAAAAAGGCAAAUCCGUUAUAUUCAGUCAGCUCACUCCGAUAAUCAAAAGCCUCCGAUAAUCAACACCAUGCCAUUAUAUUCGAAUAGCUUUUCGUCUUUUAAUGAUUGUUUAGUGUUUGUGUUUGUUUUGUGAAUCAUAUGAUUUGUAGACUUUUGGUAUGCUUACACACUAAUUUAAUUGUUGCGGGGAGGAAAUAAAGGGUGUCUUGUGUGCAAGAAAAAGAUGGCAACUUCUCCCAAAACACUUUCUGGAUUCUGCCCUGCCCCAUUUAGAAAUCUUUUGGAAUAUGUUGUUAAUUUGACUUUUGGUAUGCCUACGUAUGCAAAAAUUUCCAUUUGAUCGGCUGAAAGUUCUAAUCGUGUGACGAGGAGCCUAAUCAUUUAGGUUUCGUCGAAUGCUGAAUGAUCACACAUUCUUUGGUACCCACAAAGUUUAUUACCUCCUAAAGUCAUAAUUGCAUUAACUUUAUCUUCAAAAGGGGAAGGUCAAACUGAUUUCUUGACCAAACGUCAACUGACAUGGAAGACUUCAUUUUGUAGCCUUAAUUUCAUGUUAAAGAAGAACAUUUGUUACCUAUUUUAUGGUACUUAUUUUAAAUUAACUAAUGUUCAUGAAGAGAACUCACAUCAUAGUACUUUGGCUGUUUGUUUGAAGCCGUGAAAAUGAAGCCCUUUAAUGGAAGGUAGAUGUCGAGACCAAUGAGGUUAAUACUCAAAUGACGUUGCCACUAUGGAGCUUGUAAAAGAAACAUUUCUUCCGAUAGAUUUGGAUGCCCCGGGCAAACAAUAUACAAAUUAUUUUUGUUAAAUAUUGACUGCAAGUGACGCUAGCACUCACAGUGGAAUUUAGUUCACCGUCACUCAGUUGAGAAAGUGUCUCCUCCACUAUUAAGCUAGAACAUAUCCCAAACAAAGUAGCAUAAAGUUGGUGCAUUUCCUCCACUCCCCCACUUACACACCUAAUUCUGGGUAUCAACCAUUUCUUAAUAUUAUACAGGACAGUGUUUUGGAGCUUGAGUGUCAAGAGGAUAUUUAGCAUACUUCAGGACCACCCGAUUAGCAUGGAGCAGCUAGAGUUAUUUUCCGGGUCAACACUCAACCCAUUAAAAGAGAAGUCUCAGCUUAUGUUGGGUUAGAGGGGAAGGAAGUUAUGAGCAACAGUUAUCUCUAUUUUCCAGUUUACUAUUUAGACUAGACUAUCGUUGUUUUGUUCUUUGUCUUUGAAAAACUCAGUAUUUAUUUCUUGUAUUUGGAGAUUAGCCCAUCUCAAAUAGGCCUAUUAUCAGUUGUUUUAAUUUUAAUCAAGCCGAUU